GUAGGUGGCAAGCGUUAUCCGGAAUUACUGGGCGUAAAGAGUACGUAGGCGGUUCGGUAAGUCUGUCGUGAAAUCUCUUGGCUUAACUGGGAGCGGUCGAUGGAAACUGCCGGACUUGAGGAGCGUAGAAGUGAGCGGAAUUCUCGGUGUAGCGGUGAUAUGCGUAGAUAUCGAGAGGAACACCAGUGGCGAAAGCGGCUCACUAGGCGCCACCUGACGCUGAGGUACGAAAGCGUGGGGAGCGAACCGGGAUUAGAUACCCGGGUAGUCCACGCCGUAAACGAUGGAUGCUAGACGUGGGGGGGUAAUCGACCCCUUCUGUGUCGCAGCUAACGCAUUAAGCAUCCCGCCUGGGGCCUACGCCGCAAGGCUA
rnacentral:rRNA from 1 species